rnacentral:rRNA from 1 species
CUUGCCUGCACCUGCCGGCGACCGGCGCACGGGUGAGUAACACGUAUGGAACCUGCCCGCCACAGGGGGAUAACCCGGGGAAACCCGGCCUAAUACCCCAUGCCGCCCGGACCGGGCAUCCGGUCCGGGCGAAAGGAGGAAUCCGGUGGCGGCUGGGCAUGCGGCGCAUUAGCUUGACGGCGGGGUAACGGCCCACCGUGGCGACGAUGCGUAGGGGUUCUGAGAGGAAGGUCCCCCACACUGGUACUGAGACACGGACCAGACUCCUACGGGAGGCAGCAG